rnacentral:rRNA from 1 species
CCUACGGGAGGCAGCAGUGGGGAAUAUUGCGCAAUGGGCGAAAGCCUGACGCAGCGACGCCGCGUGAGGGAUGAAGGUCUUCGGAUCGUAAACCUCUGUCAGCAGGGAAGAACGGUCACUGUGCUAAUCAGCAGUGAAUUGACGGUCCCUGCAAAGAAAGCACCCGCUAACUCCGUACCAGCAGCCGCGGUAAUACGGAGGGUGCGAGCGUUAAUCGGAAUUACUGGGCGUAAAGCGCUCGUAGGCGGUAUGUCAAGUCAAGGGUGAAAGCCCCGCGCUCAACGUGGGAACUGCUUUUGAAACUGGCAAGCUGGAGUGUGGGAGAGGUGAGUGGAAUUCCAGGUGUAGGAGUGAAAUCCGUAGAUAUCUGGAGGAACAGCAGUGGCGAAGGCGACUAUCUGGCACAUAACUGACGCUGAGGAGCGAAAGCGUGGGUAGCAAACAGGAUUAGAUACCCCUGUAGUC